CCAAAAGGUACAUAUCUUUACAUUUCUUCGUAUAGUCUCAUCUUUUUUCAAAACGUAUACCCUUUCAUCUUUCUUCAUAUUUUUUCAAAAUGUACCCUCUCUCAUCUCUCCACCCUUCACAUUUUUUUAAAAUAUACACUCAUUUUUCACCUUUCAUUCUUUACAAAACGUACACCCUCUCAUCUCCACACCCUUCAUACUUUUCAAAAUGUAUACCCUCUUAUUUCUCCACCCUUCAUACUUUUCAAAACCUUUAUAUUUUUUUAAAACGUACAUCCUAAAUUUGAAAGUAUAGAUUUCUACAUAAUAUUAUGUUUUUUCAAAAUCUUUAUAGCAUUAUAGUGCGUUUCUAUUUUAAACUUUUCUUUUUUUUUUUCUUCGUCAUCCUCUCUCUCUCUCUCCUCAUUAUCAGAGGAGUUGGUGAUAGUGUAAUUUUUUUUCUGGAUGUGAUAUAGAUUUUGAUGCAGAAAAAAAUGAAAUUUGAUUUUGAUGCAAAAAUAAAAAACCAAAACCCAUUAUAAUUCGUCGAAUAAUGAAAUCAUCUCCAAUUUUUUUUUUCUUUCUCUUAUAUUCUUGCAUUAAAUUAUUUUUUUUAAUUUCUAUCUAUGAAACAAUUUUUAUUCUCCUAUAUAUA
rnacentral:lncRNA from 1 species